GAUGAACGCUGGCGGCGUGCUUAACACAUGCAAGUCGAACGGAAAGGCCCAAGCUUGCUUGGGUACUCGAGUGGCGAACGGGUGAGUAACACGUGGGUGAUCUGCCCUGCACUUCGGGAUAAGCCUGGGAAACUGGGUCUAAUACCGGAUAGGACGAUGGUUUGGAUGCCAUUGUGGAAAGUUUUUUCGGUGUGGGACGAGCUCGCGGCCUAUCAGCUUGUUGGUGGGGUAAUGGCCUACCAAGGCGUCGACGGGUAGCCGGCCUGAGAGGGUGUACGGCCACAUUGGGACUGAGAUACGGCCCAGACUCCUACGGGAGGCAGCAGUGGGGAAUAUUGCACAAUGGGCGCAAGCCUGAUGCAGCGACGCCGCGUGGGGGAUGACGGCCUUCGGGUUGUAAACUCCUUUCGCUAGGGACGAAGCGUUUUUGUGACGGUACCUGGAGAAGAAGCACCGGCUAACUACGUG
rnacentral:rRNA from 1 species